rnacentral:rRNA from 1 species
GUCUAUGGCCAUACCACCCUGAAUGCACCUGGUCUCGUCUGAUCUUGCAAACUAAGCAGGGUCAAGGCUUGGUUAAGAUUUGGAACAGCAGAACAACUUAAAUUCUCAACUAGUUAUGGGUC